rnacentral:rRNA from 1 species
GACGAACGCUGGCGGCGUGCCUAAUACAUGCAAGUCGAGCGAAGUUUUUCUGGUGCUUGCACUAGAAAAACUUAGCGGCGAACGGGUGAGUAACACGUAAAGAACCUGCCUCAUAGACUGGGACAACUAUUGGAAACGAUAGCUAAUACCGGAUAACAGCAUUAACUGCAUGGUUGAUGUUUGAAAGUUGGUUUUGCUAACACUAUGAGAUGGCUUUGCGGUGCAUUAGCUAGUUGGUGGGGUAAAGGCCUACCAAGGCGACGAUGCAUAGCCGACCUGAGAGGGUGAUCGGCCACACUGGGACUGAGACACGGCCCAGACUCCUACGGGAGGCAGCAGUAGGGAAUCUUCCGCAAUGGGCGAAAGCCUGACGGAGCAACGCCGCGUGAGUGAAGAAGGAUUUCGGUUCGUAAAGCUCUGUCGUUAGGGAAGAAUGAUUAUGUAGUAACUAUACAUAGUAGAGACGGUACCUAACCAGAAAGCCACGGCUAACUACGUG